rnacentral:rRNA from 1 species
CCUACGGGCGGCAGCAGUGGGGAAUAUUGCACAAUGGGCGCAAGCCUGACGCAGCGACGCCGCGUGAGGGAUGAAGGUCUUCGGAUCGUAAACCUCUUUCAGCCGGGAAGAACGGUCACUGUGCUAAUCAGCAGUUAAUUGACGGUACCUGCAAAGGAAGCACCGGCUAACUCCGUGCCAGCAGCCGCGGUAAUACGGAGGGUGCGAGCGUUAAUCGGAAUUAUGGGGUUUAAAGGGUGCGUAGGCGGAAGGUUAAGUCAGCGGUAAAAUGUCGGUGCUCAACACCGGCCUGCAGUUGAAACUGGUCUUCUUGAGUGAGCGAGAAGUAUGCGGAAUGCGAGGUGUAGCGGUGAAAUGCAUAGAUAUCACGCAGAACUCCGAUUGCGAAGGCAGCAUACCGGCGCUCAACUGACGCUGAGGCACGAAAGCGUGGGGAUCGAACAGGAUUAGAUACCCUAGUAGUC